rnacentral:rRNA from 1 species
AUGAACGCUGGCGGCGUGCCUAAGACAUGCAAGUCGAAUGCUCCGCAAGGGGCAUGGCGAACGGGUGAGUAAUAUCUAGGAACGUAUCUUUAGUUGAGCAUAUGCCACCGAAAGGUGGUGCAAUUCUCAAUGUGACCGCAAGGUUAAAGUCCAAAAGACGCUAAAGAAGCGGCCUGGAUCCCAUCAGCUAGUUGGUAAGGUAAUGGCUUACCAAGGCUAUGACGGGUAGGGGUCCCGAGAGGGAUAACCCCCACACUGGAACUGCGACACGGUCCAGACUCCUACGGGAGGCAGCAGUUUGGAAUUUUGGACAAUGGGCGAAAGCCUGAUCCAGCGACGCCGCGUGGACGAUGAAGGCCUUCGGGUUGUAAAGUCCUUUUGCAAGAGAAGAAUUUUUGACGGUAUCUUGCGAAUAAGAGGUUGCUAACUCUGU